CAGCCGCCGCGGUAAAACGAAGGGUGCAAGCGUUAAUCGGAAUUACUGGGCGUAAAGCGUGCGUAGGCGGUGAGUUAAGUCUGCUGUGAAAUCCCCGGGCUCAACCUGGGAAUGGCAAUGGAUACUGGCAAGCUAGAGUGUGUCAGAGGAUGGUGGAAUUCCCGGUGUAGCGGUGAAAUGCGUAGAGAUCGGGAGGAACAUCAGUGGCGAAGGCGGCCAUCUGGGACAACACUGGCGCUGAGGCACGAGAGCGUGGGGAGCAAACAGGAUUAGAUACCCCGGUAGUCCCUGUCUCUUAUAC
rnacentral:rRNA from 1 species